rnacentral:lncRNA from 1 species
UUUCGUCUAAAAGGAUCUAUUGAGGACGGGAUCACAGACAGACAAUUUGAAGCCUCAGAUACUUGUGGCGGUCGUGUAGUGGACGAUCUGGUGCGACAGAAAUAAUAUUAUAUUUUGAAACCUACCAGAGAAUGCUAUCUAUACUGCUCAUCGUAUUAGAAUACUGGCGAAGGAGUGAGCUGAUUUUUGUAGAGCUGGAUGAUGUCGCAUUUAUCACACCCUUUAUUCUACCGCUUGUUUCCUUUUCUUUUUUUGCUCCUUUUUUUUUUAAUUCCUUUCUUUUUUGUUUCGUUUUCUUCCUGAGUCUCUAGCUGUCUCACCCUACGUAGCUAAAUUCAUUUAUCUAAUGAAUAAAGCAGAUAGCAUGCUAUCUUUCUCUCCCUCUCAAAAAAAAAACCUCUCUAAUAAAAAAAACCGCAUAAUAUAAAAUAAUAAUAAUAAUAUUGAUAAUAAUAAAAAAAAUAAUGGGUUAAUUUCAUAUAUAUAGGUCCAUGCAAAUAUAGUGAAUUACAAAUGUAUUCCUAUAAAGUUCAGCUUUCAUAUAUAUUAUUAUUCCUACAAAUAUCUUCAUGUUUUCAAAUAUAUCCCUACCGUUCGAACUCGUUAGAAAACUUUAAUUAACAAUAAAUUAAAUACUUAACUCUGAUUAAUUUAUGAGAUAACACGGUGCCUUUUGAAGAAAUAUAUUUGUGAUGGUAAAAUUUAUAUUUCGCUUAAAAUAUAAAUAGUUUUAUAACGAUAACAAUAUAAAAAUUUUUAUAGAAAAUAUUAAAAUUAAAAACUUUAGAAACAACAUAUAAAAAUUAAAAAUUAGAGAAAUAUAUUUGUAAUUUAUUAUAUUUGUAA